UUCCUACUGCGGAUUCUCUAGAGUAAAAAUGACAAGUAUAUAAGUACAAGUUAAUUACAAAAGUCCGAAGAAGAAGAAGUCGGACUGUCGAAUGUGCGAUGGCGAAGGUCUUUAACUAUCACCUGAAAAAAAUUACAACUGAGACUGUCAGUCUCGAGAGUGAGAUAAAAUCAAAUAAUCUAGAGACAAUUGCAGUCUUCACAGGAAAUAUUAAUUAUUCGAAUCCAUAUAUCAAACCCUGAACAUAAAUAGAAAUCAUGAUGUCAUCAUACCAUAAUGAAAUAAAUAAGUAAAUAAAUAAAUAAAUAAAAAUAUCUUUGUUUCUUUUCUAUUCGGGACGAGUGGCUCGGUAGAACCCUAAACCCCAAAUUCUAGUAGCCUUUCGGCUCUCUUAGUCCAACAGGUCUGGCGCCCAGAGAGCAAGCUCGAUCAGGGUCCUUACCUCCAGCCUGAACACUUGAAUUCCAAAUAAGCCGGCGCCCAGAGAGCAUUGCUCGAUCAGGGACCUUAACUCCGGCAAUCAACUGAACUCAGCCCAGAGAGCAAGCUCGAUCAGGGCAGACAAUUUCAUAAUAAUCUUAUAUCCAUGAUCAUUACCGGUGCGCACGCUGUCCUGAUGUAACCCAUCAGGCGGCAUGUUCUAUAAGCCACAUUUCCCAAUUCGCAAUCAUCACAUAUAAUAAAUAUUAUUAUCUGAUGAACUCAACCAACACAUAUCGAAAUAAAGAUUAAAGAUUUAAGGUAAAACAGCGUGAAAUUUGUGAGGGAAAAAUAAUAACGUUUAUCUUAUUAUAACAUACUAAUAAUAAUAUUUAUAUUAUUUCAAAUAUUAAUAAUCAUGUGAAAUCAUUUAUUUUACGAUACUAAUAAUCAUAUUAUGCGUGAACUUUCAAAAUAUCAUAUUAAAUCAGACUUAGCAAUAGUGCAAUGAUUAAAUGACUUUAACUCACUGAUCUAACGCGUUCCGCAGUCCGCUCCUACGCCUCGGGUGGAGCUGGCGGGAAGGCUGAAUUAUCUAAUAACAAAAGGAAAUACAAUUAAUAGACAUUCAAAAAAUUUUCCUAAACUUAGACCCUAAGGUCGACUGCCUAGAAUUAAAUUGGACUCGAGGAUUCUGCCGAAAAUUUGACAGAACCUCCCCUAAAUUACGGAUAUUUAACCCCCGUAAAACGGGUCCAGGACCUGCCAAAAAUAUAUCAAACAUGCUGGAAUUUAAUAACAGGAGCCGGGCCACAAGAACUGCAUUAAUAUUUUCCCGACUCCAAAACACCACAAUCCAAACAAAUUAAUUUGAUUUAUUUUUAAACUACCCAACACAAGCAAUUAAUAGCCUCAAUAACUUUCUAAUAUUAUAACAAAAUUUUUCAGAGUUUAAUAAAAUUAUACCGAGUUAAAAAUUAAAAUAUUUCGCGCGUCCAGAAAACACCGGGGUCCGGAAGCCGGUCCUGCCAACAGUGUCGGAAUUCAAAUCCGGAAGCACCUACGCGAAGCUCAAGUUGCGGGGAGUCCGGAAGUACAAGAGUUUUGGCCGGAAAGUGGCCGGAAGGCGGCGGAUCGGGGCCGGAAAGUCGCUGCUCACGCGACACUUCCUAAGGCUGCCG
rnacentral:lncRNA from 1 species